rnacentral:rRNA from 1 species
CUACGGAGGGGGUUAGCGUUGUUCGGAAUUACUGGGCGUAAAGCGUACGUAGGCGGACUGGAAAGUUGGGGGUGAAAUCCCGGGGCUCAACCCCGGAACUGCCUCCAAAACUUCCAAUCUAGAGAUCGAGAGAGGUGAGUGGAAUUCCAAGUGUAGAGGUGAAAUUCGUAGAUAUUUGGAGGAACACCAGUGGCGAAGGCGGCUCACUGGCUCGAUACUGACGCUGAGGUACGAAAGCGUGGGGAGCAAACAGGAUUAGAAACCCCGGUAGUCC